rnacentral:rRNA from 1 species
AUUGAACGCUGGCGGCAGGCUUAACACAUGCAAGUCGAGCGGGGGAAGGUAGCUUGCUACCGGACCUAGCGGCGGACGGGUGAGUAAUGCUUAGGAAUCUGCCUAUUAGUGGGGGACAACAUCUCGAAAGGGAUGCUAAUACCGCAUACGUCCUACGGGAGAAAGCAGGGGAUCUUCGGACCGUGCGCUAAUAGAUGAGCCUAAGUCGGAUUAGGUAGUUGGUGGGGUAAAGGCCUACCAAGGCGCCGAUCUGUAGCGGGUCGGAGAGGAUGAUCCGCCACACUGGGACUGAGACACGGCCCAGACUCCUACGGGAGGCAGCAGUGGGGAAUAUUGGACAAUGGGGGGAACCCUGAUCCAGCCAUGCCGCGUGUGUGAAGAAGGCCUUAUGGUUGUAAAGCACUUUAAGCGAGGAGGAGGCUACUCUAGUUAAUACCUAGGGAUAGUGGACGUUACUCGCAGAAUAAGCACCGGCUAACUCUGUGCCAGCAGCCGCGGUAA